rnacentral:rRNA from 1 species
GACGAACGCUGGCGGCGUGCUUAACACAUGCAAGUCGAACGGUGAUGUUCCAGCUUGCUGGAGUGGAUCAGUGGCGAACGGGUGAGUAACACGUGAGCAACCUGCCCCAGACUCUGGAAUAAGCGCUGGAAACGGCGUCUAAUACUGGAUACGAAACUGGCCCGCAUGGGCAUGGUUUGGAAAGUUUUUCGGUUUGGGAUGGGCUCGCGGCCUAUCAGCUUGUUGGUGAGGUAAUGGCUCACCAAGGCGACGACGGGUAGCCGGCCUGAGAGGGCGACCGGCCACACUGGGACUGAGACACGGCCCAGACUCCUACGGGAGGCAGCAGUGGGGAAUAUUGCACAAUGGGCGAAAGCCUGAUGCAGCGACGCCGCGUGAGGGAUGACGGCCUUCGGGUUGUAAACCUCUUUCAGCAGGGAAGAAGCGAAAGUGACGGUACCUGCAGAAGAAGCACCGGCUAACUACGUG